rnacentral:rRNA from 1 species
CCUACGGGAGGCAGCAGUGGGGGAUAUUGCACAAUGGGCGAAAGCCUGAUGCAGCGACGCCGCGUGAGGGAAGACGGUCUUCGGAUUGUAAACCUCUGUCUUUGGGGAAGAAAAUGACGGUACCCAAAGAGGAAGCUCCGGCUAACUACGUGCAAGCAGCCGCGGUAAUACGUAGGGAGCAAGGGUUGUCCGGAAUUACGGGGUGUAAAGGGAGCGGAGGCGGGGUGGCAGGUAGAAUGUUAAACCCAUCGGUUAACCCGGUGGUUGCGUUCUAAACUGCCGUUCUUGAGUGAAGUAGAGGCAGGCGGAAUUCCUAGUGUAGCGGUGAAAUGCGUAGAUAUUAGGAGGAAUACCAGUGGCGAAGGCGGCCUGCUGGGCUUUAACUGACGCUGAGGCUCGAAAGCGUGGGGAGCAAACAGGAUUAGAUACCCGGGUAGUC